rnacentral:lncRNA from 1 species
UUUAACAUAAUUGCAGUACAGGAAACUAGUUUUUGGUGCGCCAAUCAGCCACUUGACUCGCCCACAAAGGCGUCAGUUUGUAUCUCUGGUCAGUUGUCUUUACCAUACCUUCUCAUGUCUCAACAGAUGUUGCAGAUAUCUCAGUGGUAGCUAUGGAAACUGAUGGUGCUCAUUCCUUAAAUGCAGCUUUAAAAGAAAGGAAGCCAGUGUCUAUUGGUGAUAUCACUAGUAAUGCUGAAUAUAAACAGUCAAAUCUACUGGGUCCCUCUAACCUUGGGGCCCCUAGGCACAUGCUUACUGUGCCUAUUGGGUAAUCUAGCACUGCAAAUGCUGUAAGGAAUAAAUAAUUAAUGGAGUGAGGCACAUUUACUCAAAAUAUACUCAUGUCUGGGAGUAUAACCAACCAUUUGUCUCAUGAGUACUGAUCAGUUUGGAUUCUAUGGUUAGUGACAAAAUUAAAACUAAAAUGUAUUUGGUAAGGGAAUGAAAAUUGUUGCUCUAGGUGACUAAAACACAUGUAAACAUGAAGUAACUUUUCACUCAUCAAACAGAAAACUCUUUGGCAGACAAAUAAAAAAGACACUUUUUGUUUAUGCAUCAAAACAUUUUUCUAUAUCAGAGGAAAAAGUUGAAGAAAAACAACAGUACAGUAUGUACUUACCUAUAAAUUUGGAACAAGCUUCUACAGCUUGUUUGUCAGAAAUGACAUGAGAUGACAACUGGAUGUCCUGCUUAAGGUCAAACACUCCCUGAGCCACAAUCAAUGAACCCAAUGUCUUAGCAAUGCUGAAACAUUUUAAAUAUAACAUAACUCCCUAUAUUCAACAUCUAUCUAAAACAUCAUUCCCACAUUUUCCUACUGAUAAGACAACUCAUCAAGGGACAAGGGAGGAAUUCCAGGUCAUUUAUCGCUUCUGAUACAUAAACUUGGAUAAAAAUUUCAAUAUUUUAUUUUAUGGCCUACAGUUCAAAAGAUAUGUGACCUGCAAGAUAACAAAAAAAGCUAGUACAGAAGAGGGAAGGAGGAGGUUGUGUGUUAUUAACCUACAGCAGCAAGUAGCUUACAGCUGGAGCUGAACAGGUCUCUCAAAGAGACAAGUUUGUAAUUCUAUAACUGUGAGCAAAACAAAUCCUCAUUCUUACCUAGUGAUAUCACCAAUAGACACUGGCUUCCCUUCUUUUAAAGCUGCAUUUAAGGAAUGAGCACCAUCAGUUUCCAUAGCUACCACUGAGAUAUCUGCAACAUCUGUUAAGACAUGAGAAGGUAUGGUAAAGACAACAAAUGAAAAAACGGGGAGAAUAAUGCAACACAAGUGGACGUAGAGAAAGUAGCAGGAAAGGGCAAGAACAAAUAGAAAUGCUUGGGCACAAUUGCUCACAACUCAACUUAGAGGCAGAACAUUCAAAGUGAAUUUUGGCAUCAACAAAGACUUAUAAAAUUUCAAACCGAUUCAUUGUGCAAGAUUUAUUAAUACUGCAAAGAAUUUUCCUUAUUUUAUGAUUUCCUCUACGUGUUACUCCUCAAAUAUCUAUCAGUUUCACAGUACAGUAUAAUACCUCCACACUUCUCCUUAUCAACUACAGGUAUUAUUUUCACUCCUUGUAUACAUUCUAUUGUUACAGUACCUAUUUUAAUUUUAUAUUAUUUUUUAAUUGGUUAGCCAAGACAGUAGACAAUAAAUAGGUUAUAGACAGCUUAAUCCCUUACUAUUUUCAUGGAGGCCUUUCAUGAUGCCACACAGGAGUCCGCCACCACCCACAGACACAACAAUAGCAGCUGGUUUCUCAGGGCUUUGUUCCAGUAUUUCAUUUACUAAAGUACUAUGUCCUUCCCUAAGAUGAAAAAUAAUUAAUUUACUACAAAAUGGAUUCUAAGAGUUUUAUGACUAAGCAAAUAAAAGAAAAAAAAUCACUUUUUGGUGCAUGUAAGAAACUGGUGAAGACCAAUUGCAGUAUAGUUGUAACAAGUGAAGCAGAGAACUUUUUAUUUAUAAAUAGUAUUAUAAAUGGCAUGGUAAUGUCUUUUUUUAUUGUUUUACGAGUAAGGUUCCAGUCAUGGACAAGUAUCCUCAUUAUAGGAGGAAAUAAAAGGAAAUAUUCUUAAGGUAUUUUUGAGACGGCAUAGAAUUGAUUUUUAAAGAGGCAGAGCUCAAAGUGGAUUGGAAAGAUACGAGAAGGUAGUACUGUAGAAAGAAAGAUGCAGCCAACUCUUGGGAGAUUGAAGUGAAUGUGUUGAUCAGUAUUAUCAUAUUCAUAGUUACAAUACAUGGAUAUUAAUGAAUAAAUACCUGUACAAACAAAAAGAGGUUUAAUAGUUCACAAUACAUGUUCUUACCAUAUAUCAGGAUGAUCAAAUGGAUGCACUAAACAACAAGUUUCAUUUUGGGCAAGUUCUUCAGCUUUCUCAUGAGCAACAUUCCAUACAGGACCAUGUACCUGUACAAACACACAAAAAAAAAAAAAAUCUAAUUACAAUGUUCAAUAAUCUCUUGAGCACAAUGCCAA